AGGCUCCCUGGUGUGUAUGGUAGGCUUUCAGGUGCUUACCGACCCCAGCACUUGACCAGAAGAAGCCUCAGUCCCUUUCCUAGCAUGACCCCUUUGUCCUUCAAGAUCAUUUGCCUCUAUUUACACUAAAUAGAGGCAGCUCCAUUUUUGAGUUCCUGUAUUUUGGGCAAGCCAAGCUGGAGGUCCCCACAGCCGGUCCAAGCAGGCCUCAGCUGUCCUGGAGAUGGUCACGUGGAAGGCGCUCCCAAGCCCGCUCCUCUGACAAAGUUUAGCAAACAGCUUAUCUCCCAGAAAACACGUGAGGUACCUGGGCAGCUCCAACACGCGCUGUGAAGCACAGUCAUGGUGAAUGGAUGAAGCCCAGAUUUUGAUGUCUGAGAGCCACACCGGGGCUGCCCCAAUGACUUCUAUCCAAAACUGAUGACCACAGACUCCCUUGGUGGUGCCAGAGGAGAGGUAUUUUCUUUCCUGCUCUUUGUGAGUGUGACAGAUUUUAAAUAAGAAAUCUACCUCCAUCCACUGACAAGCCAUCCUGCCACGUGCUAGACAUCGGUGUGAAGGAGAAGAACACAGAGACCAUUCCUGAACAAGGAAGGUGUGCAGGAGAAUGGAACAGGGGCCAAGACUGUACUUCAGAGAGAUGGGAGGCCAGGGCCAGCUGCUGUGUACUCCUUAGACCUAAAGAUGGAGGUAGCACAU
rnacentral:lncRNA from 1 species